rnacentral:sRNA from 1 species
UUCUCAAACAUUAUGGAGUUAUUAUGGAUCCCUUGCCUUUAUCAUUUGGCAUAACAUUUUAUUUCUCAGUAAAAGUUGUUCUCGUCACACUGUAUGUGUUAGGUGAUUCAAGUAUUAUCUUAGACUUGCAUCAUCUUAUAUUUGUAUUAUUUCCCCCCAAUAUCUCCUCUCUUUAUUACGCUGACUCUUUCCACCCUCCCAAAACUUCAGGGGAAAGCUCUGGCAAUUUAAAUGACCCAAAUAAGGAGGCACUGGCUAAGACGGAAGUGUCUCUCACCCUGACCAACAAGUUCGACGUGCCUGGAGAUGAGAAUGCAGAAAUGGAUGCUCGAACCAUCUUACUGAAUACAAAACGUUUAAUUGUGGAUGUCAUCCGGUUCCAGCCAGGAGAGACCUUGACUGAAAUCCUAGAAACACCAGCCACCAGUGAACAGGAAGCAGAACAUCAGAGAGCCAUGCAGAGACGUGCUAUCCGUGAUGCCAAAACACCUGACAAGAUGAAAAAGUCAAAAUCUGUAAAGGAAGACAGCAACCUCACUCUUCAAGAGAAGAAAGAGAAGAUCCAGACAGGUUUAAAGAAGCUAACAGAGCUUGGAACCGUGGACCCAAAGAACAAAUACCAGGAACUGAUCAACGACAUUGCCAGGGAUAUUCGGAAUCAGCGGAGGUACCGACAGAGGAGAAAGGCCGAACUAGUGAAACUGCAACAGACAUACGCU